GUGGGGAAUAUUGGACAAUGGGGGGAACCCUGAUCCAGCCAUGCCGCGUGUGUGAAGAAGGCCUUUUGGUUGUAAAGCACUUUAAGUGGGGAGGAGGCUUACCUGGUUAAUACCUAGGCUAAGUGGACGUUACCCACAGAAUAAGCACCGGCUAACUCUGUGCCAGCAGCCGCGGUAAUACAGAGGGUGCGAGCGUUAAUCGGAUUUACUGGGCGUAAAGCGCGCGUAGGUGGUUAAUUAAGUCAAAUGUGAAAUCCCCGAGCUUAACUUGGGAAUUGCAUUAGAUACUGGUUAGCUAGAGUAUGGGAGAGGAUGGUAGAAUUCCAGGUGUAGCGGUGAAAUGCGUAGAGAUCUGGAGGAAUACCGAUGGCGAAGGCAGCCAUCUGGCCUAAUACUGACGCUGAGGUACGAAAGCAUGGGGAGCAAACAGGAUUAGAAACCCCUGUAGUCC
rnacentral:rRNA from 1 species